AUGAACGCUGGCGGCGUGCUUAACACAUGCAAGUCGAACGAUGAAGCCCAGCUUGCUGGGUGGAUUAGUGGCGAACGGGUGAGUAACACGUGAGUAACCUGCCCUUAACUCUGGGAUAAGCCUGGGAAACUGGGUCUAAUACCGGAUAGGAGCGUCCACCGCAUGGUGGGUGUUGGAAAGAUUUAUCGGUUUUGGAUGGACUCGCGGCCUAUCAGCUUGUUGGUGAGGUAAUGGCUCACCAAGGCGACGACGGGUAGCCGGCCUGAGAGGGUGACCGGCCACACUGGGACUGAGACACGGCCCAGACUCCUACGGGAGGCAGCAGUGGGAAAUAUUGCACAAUGGGCGCAAGCCUGAUGCAGCGACGCCGCGUGAGGGAUGACGGCCUUCGGGUUGUAAACCUCUUUCAGUAGGGAAGAAGCGAAAGUGACGGUACCUGCAGAAGAAGCACCGGCUAACUACGUG
rnacentral:rRNA from 1 species